CUGGAGGUAUCAGAAGUGCGAAUGCUGACAUAAGUAACGAUAAAGCGGGUGAAAAGCCCGCUCGCCGGAAGACCAAGGGUUCCUGUCCAACGUUAAUCGGGGCAGGGUGAGUCGACCCCUAAGGCGAGGCCGAAAGGCGUAGUCGAUGGGAAACAGGUUAAUAUUCCUGUACUUGGUGUUACUGCGAAGGGGGGACGGAGAAGGCUAUGUUGGCCGGGCGACGGUUGUCCCGGUUUAAGCGUGUAGGCUGGUUUUCCAGGCAAAUCCGGAAAAUCAAGGCUGAGGCGUGAUGACGAGGCACUACGGUGCUGAAGCAACAAAUGCCCUGCUUCCAGGAAAAGCCUCUAAGCAUCAGGUAACAUCAAAUCGUACCCCAAACCGACACAGGUGGUCAGGUAGAGAAUACCAAGGCGCUUGAGAGAACUCGGGUGAAGGAACUAGGCAAAAUGGUGCCGUAACUUCGGGAGAAGGCACGCUGAUAUGUAGGUGAAGUCCCUCGCGGAUGGAGCUGAAAUCAGUCGAAGAUACCAGCUGGCUGCAACUGUUUAUUAAAAACACAGCACUGUGCAAACACGAAAGUGGACGUAUACGGUGUGACGCCUGCCCGGUGCCGGAAGGUUAAUUGAUGGGGUCAGCGCAAGCGAAGCUCUUGAUCGAAGCCCCGGUAAACGGCGGCCGUAACUAUAACGGUCCUAAGGUAGCGAAAUUCCUUGUCGGGUAAGUUCCGACCUGCACGAAUGGCGUAAUGAUGGCCAGGCUGUCUCCACCCGAGACUCAGUGAAAUUGAACUCGCUGUGAAGAUGCAGUGUACCCGCGGCAAGACGGAAAGACCCCGUGAACCUUUACUAUAGCUUGACACUGAACAUUGAGCCUUGAUGUGUAGGAUAGGUGGGAGGCUUUGAAGUGUGGACGCCAGUCUGCAUGGAGCCGGCCUUGAAAUACCACCCUUUAAUGUUUGAUGUUCUAACGUUGACCCGUGAUCCGGGUUGCGGACAGUGUCUGGUGGGUAGUUUGACUGGGGCGGUCUCCUCCUAAAGAGUAACGGAGGAGCACGAAGGUUGGCUAAUCCUGGUCGGACAUCAGGAGGUUAGUGCAAUGGCAUAAGCCAGCUUGACUGCGAGCGUGACGGCGCGAGCAGGUGCGAAAGCAGGUCAUAGUGAUCCGGUGGUUCUGAAUGGAAGGGCCAUCGCUCAACGGAUAAAAGGUACUCCGGGGAUAACAGGCUGAUACCGCCC
rnacentral:rRNA from 1 species